rnacentral:lncRNA from 1 species
UGGCACGUGGUGGAUUUUCAGGGAUUUUUCCUGAUUCCAGUGAUAGUGCCUAUAGUUUGGCAGUAAUAACGACUGGGCCGGAUGUGUAUGUAUCGUGUGAUGUGCAGUUAACAAAAGAUGCAGUUGGGAUUUGCCUACCAGACAUAAACCUUGCAAAUUCUACUUACAUUGCCACCACAUACCCAAAUGAUACCACAAGUUACUUGGUUAAUGGAGUACCCAUCAGGGGCUAUUUUUCUCUGGAUUACACCAUGAAGCAGCUAAGCGAUGUCUUAUGUGAGUUUGAUUUAUUUAAAGCACGUAGUUUUAUUUGAUGGACUAAGACAUUCUUUUCUACAGUGAAUAUGUGUUGCUGGUGUGAGGUCUAGCAUCUAAUGCAGGAUCUUUUUUAACUUCUCUCUCCCAGCUUGUGAAUGAGCUUUGAAGUUGUUGUUUUAUAUAGUUCCUGACAGUUUGCUGUUUCUGGACAGUAACUCAGGGAGUAUAUUCUCGAACCAACCGGUUUGAUGGCAUUGGUUUUCUAAUUCUUACUGUUGAUGAUUUGGUUACACUUAAUCAAAAACCAAAAGGAAUAUGGUUGAAUAUUCAGGUAAAUGGAAUGAAUGCAUGAUCCAUUCUCAUGAUUCAGUCUCCUUGUUUGUUUCAAAACUAACUCUUGUUUUCUCUGAUACUUUAAAGCACGAUACAUUCUACGCACAGCACAAUUUGAGCAUGAGAAGCUUUGUGAUUUCAGCUUCUAAAAGAAUAGUUUUCAGUUAUAUCUCUUCACCGGAGGUUAAUUUUCUGAGAGGUAUAUCUUCACGCUUGAACCUAAAAACAACAAAACUUGUCUUCCGGUUUAUGGAUAAGGAUGAGUUGGAACCAUCAAUCAAUCAGACUUAUGGAUCGCUUUUAAAGAAUCUUACAUUUAUCAAGACAUUUGCUUCUGGAAUUCUUGUUCCAAAGGGAUACAUAUGGCCAGUAGAUGCAAGUCUUUAUCUACAACCACAUACAUCUUUGGUCUCGGAUGCACAUAAAGUGGGGCUAGAAGUUUUUGGAUCAGAUUUUGUGAAUGAUGUUCCAUCUAGCUUCAAUUACAGUUAUGAUCCACUUACUGAGUACCUCCAGUUCAUAGACAACGGUGAAUUCUCUGUUGAUGGUGUGCUGUCUGAUUUCCCCGUUACUCCAUUUGAAGCUAUAGGUAAGUUUCUUUAUUUUUCUCACAUAUUGUCAGAAUAGCCUGUUACAAUUAGAAUACAUUUGAUCUGAUCUAAAUCCUGUUUACGUAGGUUGUUUUUUGGAUAGAAGAUAUUAGAGGACAGCAAAAAGUAUUUGUUUUAUGUAAACAAUCUAACUAUUUGAGAAUUUCUAAAUAUAGCAGAACUUGAAGAAUAAAAUCAGAGAUUAUCAUGUAAAUUACCAAUCUUCAUCACUUGUUCUGUUUUCUAACUCUUUUAUGUUUCUAAAUUAAAAAUGAAAAAUCUGCUGUCAUCCCCUCCCCUUCAAUAUAUUUCACUGAUACAUAGGGUCUGUUUGGAUGAAUCUUUUCCAUAAGUACUUUUAGGAGAGAAAAAAUGAAAUUAACUUCCGUAUAACCUAAGCUUAGCUUAUUCACGAGUUAAAAGGUCAGAUUUUGAAGUUAAUAGGAAAUAACUUCUAUAAAUUAAUUCACGUGUAAGUUAAUUUUAACUGAUGAAAUUUCCCUAAAAUGAGACAUAAGCAUGUGCUCCAUAUUAGCUGCUUCUGCAUUCUUGCAUACUCAUAAAUUAUAACCUCAAAACAUGUCUUUAUGCUUGCUUUAACAUUUCCUGUUUCCUCUAUUAAGUAGAUAUUCGGUUGUCUUGUUAUGCAGGUUGCUUUUCUCAGUUAGGCACCAAUGCUACAAAACAAGGUAUAAUUUUGGAAUAUGUAUUCUCAUAUUGUUCUUUAGCGAUUUCUAGUUUUUUUUAUUGUAUGAGGAUUUGGUGGAAUCAAAGCUUGCACCAUUGUUGAUUUGUUUCUUUAAAUUUUUUUAUCUGUGGUUCAGAUAAAACUUUGGUUAUUUCAAAAUAUGGAGCAAGUGGGGAUUAUCCUGCUUGUACCAACUUAGCAUAUGAGAAGGCCAUAGCUGAUGGUGUGGAUGUUCUUGACUGUCCGGUUCAAAUGUCAAAGGAUGGAACACCAUUUUGCUUAAACUCCAUUGAUCUUAUAGAGAGUACUGCAGUUGCCCAAUCAAACUUCAGCAAAUUUGCCAUGACUAUCCCUGAGAUCAAAACUGGCAGUGGCAUAUUUGCAUUCAACCUCACGUGGAAUGAUAUAAAAGAUUUGACCCGUAAGUGAUCUUAAGUUCUGUAGCCGUUUACUAUUCAAUUAGGUAAAAUGUUCUUCUAUAUUUCUGUAUUUGCAUGGAGUUAAUCCAGACUUGUCAAAGCUUAGUUGACUGAUACUUUCAAUUAGCCAAAAUUUAGAAUGAGAUAUAUGCACAUUGAUACAAGUCCUGUGUUGGGAACAAAGAGGAAAUUAGCUUACAUAUUCACUUUAUAAAGAGCAAUCAUGUCUCACUGAUAAACUAUCACGGCAAAAAUUUCCCUUUCAUAUUGAAAAUGUUACAACAAAUAUUGACAUUUUUCUCUUCUCUAUUUUCCCUGCAGCCUCAAUAUUGAAUCCUUUUGCAAAAUACAGACUGUUCAGGAAUCCAAAAUCUAAGAAUUCCGGGAGAUUGACGUCGUUAUCACAUUUCUUGUCCUUGACAAAAAAUCAGACUUCUCUAUCUGGUAUCUCUAUCAGUGUUGAGGUGCGUUCUUUCAUACCUGUUAAUUGAUUUAUUAUAUCUGCUGUUAUUUGAACAUUUAGUCUUUUUUGUAAGAAUAAAGCAUGUUUUUUUGAAGAUGGCUCAGGGUCACUUAGUUUAGGGUUUAGGGUUUAAUAAUUCUUAUGAUUGAUUUCAUCGUCAAAGUAAAUACUUCUUUCACUCUUCUUCAGCAUGAUUUUUUUUCUACCAAGUAAAGAAUAUUGUUUUUUUUAUGGUGAUGAAACAUAAAUAAUUGUUGUAUUUUCGAGUUUCAUCUUCCAUUUACUAACAUGCAUGUUUUGUUGUUUUUCAUGUUAUCAGAAUGCAGCCUAUCUUGCUGAAAAGCAAGGAUUAAGUGUGAUUGAUGCAGUCAUCAAUGCUUUGAGCAGUGCAGGUUAUGAUAAACCCGGAUCCCAAAAAGUUUAUAUUCAAUCCACUAAUAGCUCUGUACUGCUAAAGUUCAAAGAGAAAACCAGUUACGAGCUUGUGUACAAGAUUGACGAGAUUGUGGGUGAUGCUGCAUCAGCAGCUGUUGAGGAUAUCAAGAAAUUUGCCAGUGCUGUGAUUGUCAGCAAGGACUCUGUAUUUUCUAAUAAUGAUAAAUUCCUAACAAGCACUACGAAAAUCGUGCCAAAGCUAAACGCUGCAAACCUCUCAGUUUUUGUAGAGACAUUCAGCAAUGAGUUUGUUUCUCAAUCAUGGGAUUUCUUCUCAGAUGCAACUGUUGAGAUAAACUCAUAUUUAAAUGCUGAGGGCGUAAAAAUUGAUGGUAUCAUCACUGACUUCCCUAAAACUGCCGACAGAUACAGAAGUAAGUGCUGGCAAAUUCGGCUGUACCAUGUAGUCGUUUUUUGUGAACCUCUUCAUUACUAAAAUGUUUUUUCUCCAUUUUACUGCAGGGAACAAAUGCUUAAAUUUGGGUGACAAGAAACCUACUUACAUGGACCCUGUUCAACCAGGUGGUCUUUUUGGACUGAUUACCCCAGGUUUCUUGCCUCCAACUGAAGCUCCACUCCCACCCUUGACAGAAUCUGAAGUUGCAGAGCCAGCUUUGCCUCCUGUUGUUAAAAUAGCCCCAGCUUCCAGCCCCACUGCUGGAACCAAAGCGCCACCAGGAAAUGCACAGCCUAAGGUUGCUGUCUGCUUCUUCUUUUCCUCUCUGGCUGUGUUCAUAGCUUCCCUUCUUCUGCUCUGAGCAAAAUCAUCUUUAAGCUUCCUUCUAAGAAAAAACAAAAAAGAAAAGAGAAAAGGUUGUUUUUGCCGGUUUCAACCCUGUGUUUGCACAUCUCUUCUAGGAUUGAGUGGCAUGAAACUUUUGGCUUCAGAUUGACUGCAUGAACAAUCCACAUUUUUUUUGUUCUUCUUAAAAGGAGCAAAUUCUUUGAAUCUUAUUUGUUGUAGUUAUGAUUGUCCAUUCUUAGUUCCCCAAUUGCUUCUCGGGAUUAUACUGUGACCACAAGCUCUCGUGGUAUAUAUCUAUGAAUUCUUUUUAGAUGUGUAUUUUGUAUCUCUUGUUGUAAGAUAUAUUUAUACUUUUAUGCAUUUGUUAUUUAUUACUCUCCUCAUCCUACAUGCAACUUACAGAAAUCACAGCAUUCUCGAAUACAAAACAUAGUAAUUGUUUGAAUGGUGUUCAGUUUAAUUGAAGGCACAUCAAUAGGUGUUGCAACUGCAGAAAGUGGAAAAUGAGUAAAACGCACUCUUAGCAGAAUAAAAUAAUCAUAAUAUACUAUGUUCCAAUACAACAGGAAAAACCCACUAGAGUUACCUUAACAAAGGAUUUGUAUAACAUAAGAUCUUAAAUUCAAAUUUUGUUGUUGCUAAGAGAAAAAUAAACAAUAGCAUGAAUACUUUUAAUUUAUAAAGCGUGUAUUUUUUAUUUAUUUACAGGAAUUAAGUACAAAUAUCAGAAGAUUUACAAUUAUGCACUAUUUAAGUUAUACAUGCACCUAAUGAAUGCAUUUAACUUGACUCACAAUGAGUGACAUAACUCACAAUGAGUGGCAGAAGAUGGUGAACUUGACAAUCCCAAGCAAACAACUAGACACUUCCCGUUCAAAAUCCUAACUAGAAAUAAAUAUAUUUCAUAUUAUAAGUGGAUGCAAACAUCACUUAUAAGUCGAUUUAUAAAGUUAAGUUAGACUUAAAGUUCAUGUCUUAAUAUAAUAUUAGAGUCAUUUAGAAUCUAUUCAAGAGUUGUUGGACUUAUUAAGUCAUCUUCUAUUAGACUACCUAUAAUAUAUAGUCUUAUGCACGAGUCUGUAAGUUUUGAGAAUGAAUGGGUUGGAGAUGUCACAUUAACUAGACAUAAGAGUAUUUCAUAAUAUAUAAAUGAGUACAAACUUCAUCUUAUAAGCUGAUUUUUUAAGAUUGAGUUAUUAUUUAAUUUUCUUAUUUUUAUGUAAUACGAGAACUUUACUAAAUUGGUUUCUAAGAAAAGAUGCCAAAAGAGAAUAAGUUAAAGGUAAGACCAAGAAAUCCAAGUUUGUAUUUGCUUGAUGAGAAUUGAUCCAUUGGUUUUGUCUUGUCAAUAGGUUCAAAAACAAAUACAUGAACUCAAUAUCAUGCAACCAAGUUGUUCCUGCCUUCAUUUUUACAGUUUCUUCUCACAUCCCCUAUUUCUUACUUUUUAUUUCAUUGAUAUUUUUUUAGUUGGGAAUGAGUGAUCUAGAAAAACUUCAUAUAAUAAAAUUUGAAAGAUAUUUAUAGAUCCAAAAAUAUUUUUAAAUUCAUUUUUUUCGAAAACCAGAUAGAUAUGUAAAUUACAAAAAAUAAAACCAGAUAAAUAUUUUCAAUGUAUAUUAAAAAAACAUUUUAAAUUGUAUAAUCCAUUUCUAUAUCUAGAUAUAUCUUUCAAAUUCUACAAUUCAAAAUAUAUAAAUGAAAAAUAAAUAUGAAGGACCUGAUUGUUUGUUAAGAGUUUAAUCCUAAAUGUAAAGAACAAAAUCUUGUACAUUAGUUUGAAUUCUCUGAUCCUAGAGUGAAGGAGUUCUUCAAAUGAAGCAAGGCAAAACUGUCAUAAAAAAAAGAGAAUGAAAAAAGAAACCUCAAAUAGUUAAGUAGUAUAAGGUUUUUUUGAAAUAGUCUUGGUCUCAGAAACUGUUUUGAAACUUUAGAUGAAGUGACUGCAAGACAAUGAUCUGUUAUAUUAACAAGACAAACUGAGAAUUUAAUGUAUGGGAGUGGGGCCAGAACAUCAUCGUAAUUCAAAUUCAUGCACAUUUAUGAGAAACUAGUGUUAUUAAAGAAACAAAAUCAAAAGUUGUUGUUUUAUGAAAUGAACACACCAGUCAAAUCUCUCUCCAUAGUGUAUACAAGUAAAGUCUUGGUCUUUUAUCAUUCAUAUCUUUUUAGCCCAAUGAUUUGCUUAUAAAAUUUUGUAAUAAAAAAAUAAAAAUGACUAAUAUCAACAGUUUAGAUAACAGGUUAAUGAUAAAUAAUUUAGAGUUUAUUAAGAAGACAAGAGAUCACUGUCUUGGUGUGACAUCUCGAGCUUCCAAACAUUUGUUGUGGCCAAGACUAUUUCAAAACACCUUAUAUACUUUAUUACUUGAGGUUCCUCUCAUUCAUACUUUUCUUCUCUCUUCCAAUUUUUUUCUUGGAAAAUUAAUAUUUGGACACCUCUCUAAAAAAAAUAUACCCACUUCACAACACACUUUAAUAAUAUAAUAAUGUAUAAGUACAACUUAAAGAUACUAACACGAACACUGAUACGAUAUGGACACAGACACGAAAAUACAUAUAAUAUCUCAAAUGUAAGACACGGAAGGACACAGAGACACAAAUAUAUAUAUUAUAUAAUUAUAAAUUAUAUAAAUCGAUAAUAAAGAUUUAUGUGCACAAGUAUAUUUCAGAUUAUUUUUUUGGAGCAGAAAAAAGUUUUUCAUGACUGGUUCAAAAUAAUUUGUUUCUUAUUUUUAUAAUCAUAAUAAAAAAUUAUAUAAUAAAUUUGAAUUUUUAGAAAAUUAAUGUAUUGUUCUCUUUUAAAAUUAUGUUAGAAUCUUACUAGAAUUUUGUCAGAAAUCCAACAAAAAAUACUUUUUGAAUUGAACACGGAUACAUACCUUACAAUAAUAUGUAUAAAUAUAAACUUAUUAUUCCUUCAUUUAUUCAAGCUAUGUCUAAUCAAAUCGCAGUCGCAAUUCAGGGUCCCACGUGUCCUUCCACGAUGGACACCACUUAGUCACGCACACCCUCGCCGUUUUGUGUGUUUUCUCAAUCCACUCCCUUGGACCAACCACGAUACGCCACGUGUCAUUUCCUUUUAUUUUAUUUGAUUUUUCAACACAAUAAUAUUAAAUAUAAUUACAUAAUAUAUAAAUGUAAGUUCAGCUGAGCUUCUGAGUUAAGAGCGCAGUGUCACACACAUACAAACACUUACUCUCUUCUCUUUGAUUUUCUGAGGUGGUUGGCUUCUUCAGUUCCAACUUUGCCGGGAUGUGGAAUCCACGCGCUCUUUCCGCCGUCCUUCUUCUUCACUCUCUUAUUGCUAUCGUAUCUGCUCAGAUAUCUGCUUGGAAAACACUCAAUGGUCAAAAAUUUCUCACUCAUUCUAUUUUCUCAACCUAUAUCAACUAACUUUCUACCAUGCGUUUCUUUUCUCUCAACUUUCAUUGCUUUCUUUCAGCUGAGUUCGGAUUAUUAACAAUUGUUACCCAAAGUUUUGGCUCAGCUUAUGUUAUAUACUCGUGUUUAACCACAUGUGAAAUUUCUAACAAUUCCUUAAACGACCGUACAUGUCAAGUAUUAAGACAUCUUCCAGUGGCGGAUAAUGGUCCAAGGGUGACUGACUUCAUAACCUUACCAAAAAUUGUUCAUAUAAGUUUUGAAACUAUUUUGGAAUUUGGAUUUAGGCUUAACUCAGCAGAAUACUCUUUUCUAGCCAUAUCACAUCACUUGUGAAAGUGGGAUUUUCAGCAUUAAUGAUUUUUUUGCUUGCAAACUUGAGGUUGUCGAUGUAACGUCAAAGGUUGUUGCCACUUUUUUUCACUGUGCAAGGUGUUUUGAAACUUGUGUUCUUGUUUCGCAGGAGGUCCCCCGUUGGUUGUGGCACGUGGUGGAUUUUCAGGGAUUUUUCCUGAUUCCAGUGAUAGUGCCUAUAGUUUGGCAGUAAUAACGACUGGGCCGGAUGUGUAUGUAUCGUGUGAUGUGCAGUUAACAAAAGAUGCAGUUGGGAUUUGCCUACCAGACAUAAACCUUGCAAAUUCUACUUACAUUGCCUCCAGAUACCCAAAUGAAACCACAAGUUACUUGGUUAAUGGAGUACCCAUCAGGGGCUAUUUUUCUCUGGAUUACACCAUGAAGCAGCUAAACAGUGUCUUCUGUGAGUUUAAUUUAUUUAAAAGACGUAGUUUUAUUUGAUGGACUAAGUGAUUCUUUUCUACAGUGAAUGUGUGUUGCUGAUGUGAGGUCUAGCAUCUAAUGCAGGAUCUUUUUUAACUUCUCUCUCCCAGUUUGCGAAUGAGCUUUGAUGUUGUUGUUUUACAUAGUUCCUCACUGUUUUCUGUUUCUGGACAGUAACUCAGGGAGUAUAUUCUCGAACCAACCGGUUUGAUGGCGUUGGUUUUCAAAUUCUUACUGUUGAUGGUUUGGUUACACUUAAUCAAAAACCAAAAGGAAUAUGGUUGAAUAUUCAGGUAAAUGGAAUGAACGCAUAAUCCAUUCUCAUGAUUCAGUCUUCUUGUUUCUUUCAAAACUAACUCUUGUUUUCUCUGAUAUUUUAAAGCAUGAUACAUUCUACGCACAGCACAAUUUGAGCAUGAGAAGCUUUGUGAUUUCAGCUUCUAAAAGAAUAAUUUUCAGUUAUAUCUCUUCACCGGAGGUUAAUUUUCUGAGAGGUAUAUCUUCACGCUUGAACCUAAAAACAACAAAACUUGUCUUCCGGUUUAUGGAUAAGGAUGAGUUGGAACCAUCAAUCAAUCAGACUUAUGGAUCGCUUUUAAAGAAUCUUACAUUUAUCAAGACAUUUGCUUCUGGAAUUCUUGUUCCAAAGGGAUACAUAUGGCCAGUAGAUGGAAGUCUUUAUCUACAACCACAUACAUCUUUGGUCUCGG